AGGACGAGGUAGCUCUUGAGGUAACAGGAUACAACUCGUACACUUCACCAGAAGGCGAAAAGGUUGAGAUUAGAUACGUUGCUAACGAAAAUGGAUACCAACCACAGGGUUCGCAUUUACCCGUUGCCCCAGAACCUCUGCCAAUCCCAGACUACAUCGUUCGCUCCAUCGAAUACAUCAAGGCGCACCCAGCUCCAGUCGAGAAGAAACUCUAAGCUAACACCAACUGAUUUAUACGCCUAACAACCAGGAAGCCGAUAAAACCAUUUCUCACUAUAAGAAUGCUAUUGUCAUCUUUAUAUGCUGUUAUGUUACUGUUAAAUGUUUUUACUGUGGCCGCGGAUUUUAGGUUAUUUACUAACAAUUGUUAACACUGAGCGAGACACGGACAUUCUUAGAACUAUAUUAAUGUUGUACGCAACAACGUUUUGUAAGCUUUAAAAGUAAACAUUAAUAUUAGCUCUAAUAUGUUGUUUUUAAUUCUUAUAGUCUGAAAUAAAAUGUUGGAAAUUUA